GACGAACGCUGGCGGCGUGCUUAACACAUGCAAGUCGAACGGAAAGGCCCUGCUUUUGUGGGGUGCUCGAGUGGCGAACGGGUGAGUAACACGUGAGUAACCUGCCCUUGACUUUGGGAUAACUUCAGGAAACUGGGGCUAAUACCGGAUAGGAGCUCCUGCUGCAUGGUGGGGGUUGGAAAGUUUCGGCGGUUGGGGAUGGACUCGCGGCUUAUCAGCUUGUUGGUGGGGUAGUGGCUUACCAAGGCUUUGACGGGUAGCCGGCCUGAGAGGGUGACCGGCCACAUUGGGACUGAGAUACGGCCCAGACUCCUACGGGAGGCAGCAGUGGGGAAUAUUGGACAAUGGGCGGAAGCCUGAUGCAGCAACGCCGCGUGCGGGAUGACGGCCUUCGGGUUGUAAACCGCUUUCGCCUGCGACGAAGCGUGAGUGACGGUAAUGGGUAAGGAAGCACCGGCUAACUACGUG
rnacentral:rRNA from 1 species